rnacentral:rRNA from 1 species
AACGAGAAAGUGGGGCUUGCUCCACGAGUAAAGUGGCAAACGGGUGAGUAACACGUGAACAACCUGCCCUCGAGUGGGAAUAACACCGCGAAAGCGGUGCUAAUACCGCAUAAUAUCCCGGGGUCGCAUGGUCCUGGGAUCAAAGGCGCAAGUCGCUUGAGGAGGGGUUCACGGCUGAUUAGCUUGUUGGUGAGGUAACGGCUCACCAAGGCGACGAUCAGUAGCCGGCCUGAGAGGGCGAACGGCCACACUGGAACUGAGACACGGUCCAGACUCC